CCUACGGGUGGCAGCAGUGAGGAAUAUUGGUCAAUGGAGGAAAUCCUGAACCAGCCAAGCCGCGUGCGGGAAGACGGCCCUAUGGGUUGUAAACCGCUUUUGUCGGAGGACAAAACCCGGCACGUGUCGCUGACUGCGGGUAUCCCAAGAAAAAGCAUCGGCUAAAUCCGUGCCAGCAGGCGCGGUAAUACGGAGGAUCCGGGCGUUAUCCGGAUUUAUUGGGUUUAAAGGGUGCGCAGGCGGUCCCGUAAGUCAGCCGUGAAAUGGCGGGGCUCAACCCCGGCACAGCGGCGCAAAUUGGCGGGCUUGAGUGGGCGAGAGGUAGGCGGAAUGCGUGGUGUAGCGGUGAAAUGCAUAGAUAUCGCGAAGAACUCCGAUUGCGAAGGCAGCCUACCGGAGCGAGACUGACGCUGAGGCACGAAGGCGUGGGGAUCGAACAGGAUUAGAUACCCGAGUAGUC
rnacentral:rRNA from 1 species